CGCGAAUAGUCAUUACAACAGCUAUAAUUUACUUGAUUUUGACACUAUCCUACUUGGAUAACUGUGGUAAUUCUAGAGCUAAUACAUGCAUUAAAGCUCUGACCUCACGGGAAGAGUGCACUUAUUACAACAAAACCAAGCGGCUUCGGCUGUUUCUGGUUGACUCAUAGUAACUGAGCUGAUCGCACGGUCUUGCACCGGCAACGUGUCUUUCAAGUAUCUGCCGUAUCAACUUUCGAUGGUAGUGUAUCUGACUACCAUGGUGAUCACGCGUAACGGAGAAUAAGGGUUCGACUCCGGAGAGUUCGCCUGAGAAAUCGCGAACACAUCUAAGGAAGGCAGCAGGCGCGAAAAUUACCCACUCUCAGCACGAGGAGGUAGUGACGAAAAAUAACGAGACCGUUCUCUUUCGAGGCCGGUCAUCGGAAUGGGUACAAUUUAAACCCUUUAACGAGUAUCUAUGAGAGGGCAAGUCUGGUGCCAGCAGCCGCGGUAAUUCCAGCU
rnacentral:rRNA from 1 species